rnacentral:rRNA from 1 species
UACGUAGGGUCCGAGCGUUGUCCGGAAUUACUGGGCGUAACGAGCUCGUAGGUGGUUUGUCGCGUUGUUCGUGAAAACUCACAGCUCAACUGUGGGCGUGCGGGCGAUACGGGCAGACUAGAGUACUGCAGGGGAGACUGGAAUUCCUGGUGUAGCGGUGGAAUGCGCAGAUAUCAGGAGGAACACCGGUGGCGAAGGCGGGUCUCUGGGCAGUAACUGACGCUGAGGAGCGAAAGCGUGGGGAGCGAACAGG